rnacentral:rRNA from 1 species
CGCGGUGAAUACGUUCCCGGACCUUGUACACGCCGCCCGUCAAGCCAUGGAAGCUGGGUGUACCUAAAGUCGGUAACCGCAAGGAGCCGCCUAGGGUAAAACUAGUAACUGGGGCU